rnacentral:rRNA from 1 species
UACGUAGGGGGCAAGCGUUGUCCGGAUUUAUUGGGCGUAAAGAGCGUGUAGGCGGCCCGGUAAGUCCGCUGUGAAAGUCCAGGGCUCAACCCUGGGAUGCCGGUGGAUACUGUCGGGCUCGAGUCCGGAAGAGGAGUGUGGAAUUCCUGGUGUAGCGGUGAAAUGCGCAGAUAUCAGGAGGAACACCAAUGGCGAAAGCACUCUGCUGGGCCGACACUGACACUGAGAGACGAAAGCUAGGGGAGCGAAUGGG